CUACGGGGGGCAGCAGUAGGGAAUAUUGCGCAAUGGGCGAAAGCCUGACGCAGCGACGCCGCGUGAGUGAUGAAGGUCCUCUGGAUUGUAAAGCUCUGUAAGGAGGGAAGAACCGCCUGGUGUAACGGCCAGGUCUGACGGUACCUCCAAAGUAAGCACCGGCUAAAUAAGUGCCAGCAGCCGCGGUAAUACUUAUGGUGCGAGCGUUGUCCGGAAUGACUGGGCGUAAAGGGUGCGUAGGCGGACUUUCAAGUCAGGUGUGAAAUCCCCGGGCUUAACCUGGGAACUGCGCUUGAAACUGGAAGUCUAGAGUAUGUGAGGGGUUAGCGGAAUUCCCGGAGUAGCGGUGGAAUGCGCAGAGAUCGGGAAGAACACCGGUGGCGAAGGCGGCUAACUGGCACAUGACUGACGCUGAGGCACGAAAGCGUGGGGAGCGAACGGGAUAGAUACCCGGGUAGUC
rnacentral:rRNA from 1 species